UUGCAAACCCCAUACCCACAACUAUACUCAUCAUUCCUUUCAGAGAAAUGGCCCAACCAUCAACUCCGGGACCCAAAUUCUGCCUCAGGUUAGAAAAGUAUUUCACAGUCCUGCCAGAGAAAAUAAGGGCUACAUUGGCCCCCAGUCCAAACAAUGGGUAGAAUCGUUUUGCUUCCUCGAUAGUAGUUAUCUUCAGAGAGAGAAAAAAAACAUUUCUAUUAGAUUUGUCGAGAAGAAGAAAUGCAUAAAACCAUGUAAAUCUAUCUGCUUUAAAUUUAUUAUAAUUUAUAUAAUAUAUUCACUUUAUCAUGUUGGUCAAAUAAAAUUGAAGAUUCAAGUAUUCAACAUUUAACCCCACCAUGCCGUCACAUGAUAGCAUGAUAAUUUCGUAAGAGUUUAUGCAUGGUAUCGCAAAUGAAGCAAGAAGCCAACAACCAUCAUUGCUGUUUUACAAAAAACAUAUGGACUUCACAGUCCUACACUCAAAUCUGAAUGAAUUGUCCAAAAAGAGAACAAAUGAAUGACUAAAUUAUGCUAAAUUGCAAGUAAAAAACACAUUAACAAAAAUCAUCCACUAACCAAGUCAUCUGACAAGUGCUUUCGAUUCAGCUAAAGAAACCAAUAGAUUCAACACAGUAAAAACAGAGAAACAGAGACAGACUUCAGAAGAUGUCAUGUGUUUAAGUGCAUUUUGGUUUCACAUUGAUCAAGUUAAACAUGGAUCCAGUUACUUUGAAUAGUUUUUCAUUGUUCAAAUUCAAAACGUGGAUCCGAGACUUUAAACGUCAAAUCAAUCAGGACCUGAUUCCAUCAUUGCAUUCAUUGACAUUUUAGUUAUACGAAGUUAUAAACUAAUUUACCAUUUCUUCCAAAUGCAACAGCAACCAGUAUCUGCAGUUCCAAACACUCAAAUUGCUAAAGGAUGGAAAAUGCAUGUGGAAAAAUGUUAAGAAAUGACUAAUUCUUAAAAUUGAAUAAACAUAACCAUGUUUCCAUCCAUCUCUAAACAAUCAACAGAUGUACUAUAAGGCUAAGUCAGUAAACCAAACAUACAAAUCUGAAGAAUAAACACAGAUGAAAAGUAAAACAAUUGAAUACCUAAUCGUGAUGAUCGACGAAUAAAUUAACCAUAUCUAAAUUCCAUUAACAGGAAAUCCAAGGAAAAUCAAGAUGUCAUGCCCUGCCAUGCAUGCUUAUGACAGCAGAAUAAAAAAUCAUAACCCGAUACUAUCACACAUAAUCAAAGAAUCAAUCAAAAAAAGUCAGUUAACAAAACAGAAUCAAUUACCUGAUUAGCAAACCCCCAAAAGAGCACAGAAACGACGACACUCCCCCACAACUCAGCCAUGACAUAGAACAAACAGAAACUCCAAAUUCUCAUGAUCGCCAGGGGACCGAGGAACCUUGGUCCGAGGAUGUUGAGAAGCUUAUCCGCAAACGCCUCGGGGUGAAUAUAGCUGCUGAGAGGGUACAGCACAAACCCGAAAGCCCCAAAAAAAGCAAUGAAGGGAAGAAUCACGGAGUAGAAAAGAGCUUGCUUUGACAAAACAUUGGCCAACUUGGUGUACAACAACAUGAACCCAAUAGCCAUGGGAAGGUUCACCCAAGUUUUGAGAAACG
rnacentral:lncRNA from 1 species